rnacentral:misc_RNA from 1 species
UUUCCGUAGGUGAACCUGCGGAAGGAUCAUUAUUGCAUAACCGAGGUGCGUGGGCUGUCGCUGACCCGACAGUUCGUGCACCCCCGAGUGCCGUCACACCCAUCCAUCACACCCCUGUGUGCACCACCGCGUGGGUCCCCCUUUGGCUUGUUAGGAGGGGGGCUUGCGUUUUCCCACAAGCUUUGCAUGCAGUGUAGAUUGUAUUUUUUGUUUUUGCGAUCUCGCAAUAAAUACAACUUUCAGCAACGGAUCUCUUGGCUCUC